AUGGACUGGGCUACACCCACCAGUACAAAGUUUGGGCAAAGUUCAUUAGAGGGAGCAAAAAUGAUCAUGUGGCUAAACUUAGUGUCCUUAUUAGCAGUCUUGAGAGGUGUCCAAAUGGAGGCCCAGCUGGUGGAGUCUGGAGGGGAUGUGAGAAGACCUGGAGAGUCCCUCCGUCUCACCUGCCAAGCUUCAGGCUUCACCUUCAGCAGCUAUGAUAUGAUCUGGGUGAAACAGGCUCCAGGGAAAGGCCUGGAGUGGCUUGCAUGGAUAGAUUAUGCUGGAGAUGGGAGCCCAAAAUCAUAUCAUGAUUCUGUGGAAGGCCAUUUCACCAUAUUUAGGCGAGAUGCCUCCAGCGUGGUUUAUCUCCAAAUUAACAGCCUGAAACCAGAGGACACCGCUGUGUAUUACUGUGCUGGAGACACACAGUGA